rnacentral:ncRNA from 4 species
CUACCACAUCCAAGGAAGGCAGC